rnacentral:lncRNA from 1 species
CAGUAGUUGAUCUGUCUCUUUGCUGGGUGAUGGAUGAUUGUUGCCAAAGAUGAAAUAUUUUAUUUCAGUGGGUACAGGCCGUGUCACUUUCUUUCCUGGUGUGUAUGGAUCCAGUGUUCUCUUCAGAUGUACUUUUGGAAAUACUAAUUCAAAUCUGGCUUCCAUCUAUCAAUGCUGCAUGACUUACUGUUCCAGGAAGCUGUGAUAAAAGCUGGUGAUGUAGACAAGGCCUAGUGGACAUGCCUGUAAAAGAAUUGUAAGCAAAAGGAGUCUCAGCAGCAUCCCACACUGCUGCUUUCCAGCACUGCAGAAGAGAAAGAAUGGCUUCACCCAGUGUUCACAGCCACAGCUGAGAUUUGGAGGUGGAAGAACUUGAAAAGGUUAUUAUGCAAAGCAGAGAUGACUCUGGAAACGAUGCAGAUGAAGGGGCAGAAGCAAUGUAGGAGGCAGAGGGUUAAGAGAA